rnacentral:lncRNA from 1 species
GUCUCAGCUCGAGCAUUCCUAGCGCCAACACGCCCUCAGGUAAAGGUGGAAGUAAAUGGCCACGCUGUAUUGACAGAGGUAGGGUUUGUUUUUUAAUACUCGUUCUCACUUUAAGUCUCACCAGGGAGGGGUUUGGGAAGCACUGCGUGUUUGGGGGACGUUUUGCGCUUCCUGGUCUCUCCAGCCUACAAGUCGGGAGUCGGCGACCGCUUAGUGACGAGCGAUGAUUUUAAAGAGCAGAAUAAAAGGUUUUCCCGUGCCUGCCCCACAGCCCCUCCAGCUCGAAUAAUGGAGAACUGUCAAUGCACUCCGCGAGCGGUGGCCCAUUGUACGCAGCUGAUGGCGAGGAGGCGACUGGGGGUAGCAGGGGCUCCUUGCCCUCGUCCCUAUGCCCAAAUAAACGCGCAAACGCGCUCCCGUCUUCUGGUCAGUUAAAAGGUGAAACGAACACGAUUAAAAUAGACCAAAAGAAAAGAAAGAAAAGAAAACCUUUCUAUGUACAGAUUCUAAAUCGUACUCCCCAUACAGUCAGAGGCAGGGAGUCGAGGGCAGAGGCAGCAGGCGGAGAGAGGGAGAUAGGGCGAGGGAAGGAGAACGCGGAGAGAGACGAAGGGAGUGGGAGACCAGCGACAGCGAGCGCCAGGGCACCGCAGGCACACUGGAUGCCCAGUCCGCCGGCCCAGCCGCCCUCGGACCCUGGACCGUGCGUCGUGGGCACCAGAAACGAGACUCGGCCAAAUCCUGCCUCACCAGCAGGUAGAUGAAACUCAAGAGAAAAGGUGUGGAUAAAUGAAACUAGCCCAUGAUGAACCUGUUUUCUCCGUGACCACAAUAUUAACCAGGAUGAAUGGCGGCGUUGUAGAAAUUGGAAACCAAAAUGAAGAGGAACUUUAGGAGUUUGCAAUCUAGUGGAAGACAUCCAAUUUUGGUGGCAGUGGGCCUGCAUCACAGGUUGCAGCAGAUGUUCUCAAUAUUUCUAUUAAAAUUUCCUUAUUUCCAUAUGCAAGAGGAGCCCCAGAGCUGCAUCCUUAUGGUAGCUACCAUGCCGUGAUGUAAGCUGCCAUUCACUGGGGAGCUUUGGCAAUAGAAUUGGCUAGAUCAGGAAGCCUAUGUCAACUAUGGAACAACAACUUGCAGCUCAUCUCUAUUGAUGAUACACUGCCUCUAGGACUGGGACAGAUAGCCACUGAGUACCUGCUUCAAAUCACCCUGCACGUUUUCUCUUUGGAAAGAUAAGCACUGGAGAACCAUCUCGUUACCUUCAGCAGAAAUGGAAACAAAUCAAGACAUUAAGAAUGCCGCAGUGGACAGCAGUUAUGCAAGGUUCAGCAGAGGAAGUUUUCAAGAUGGUGUGCCUCACUAGCCAGAAAUCAGAAAAGAUCGAAGCUAGCCUUUUCAUCUCAGCUGCUCCUUAAAUCAGUGCAACCCCUCCAAAUUAAUGUGAAUUGAAACUUGCAUUGCUUUUCAACUUAAUUGAAUACUUACUAUAUGUGAACCACUGCACAAAAUAGGGGAAGAAGAUGUGGGAGACAAAGAUGUGGAGCCUGUCUUCAAUAAAUUUACAGU